rnacentral:rRNA from 1 species
UACGAAGGGGGCUAGCGUUGUUCGGAAUUACUGGGCGUAAAGCGUGCGCAGGCGGCUUCUCAAGUCAGGGGUGAAAGCCCUGAGCUCAACUCUGGAAUUGCCUUUGAGACUGAGUGGCUUGAGUACGAGAGAGGUGAGUGGAAUUCCCAGUGUAGAGGUGAAAUUCGUAGAUAUUGGGAAGAACACCGGUGGCGAAGGCGGAUCUCUGGGCCAUUACUGACGCUGAGGAGCGAAAGCGUGGGGAGCGAACAGG